rnacentral:lncRNA from 1 species
UAAAUAACUGGACCUUCGACUUUACUCAUGUUAGGAUGAGGUUCUCCUCCUGUUCCUAACAUGGCUGUGUUUCAAUUGUCCGAAGGGGUUACUCCCUGUCGUUACAAAUUCAUGCCAAAAGAAAAAUAUGCAAAUAUGAAAAAAACUUUGAUAAGACAAAGUUAUUAGUAAUACAUUCAUAGAUUUUUUGAAUCCCAUAGUCGCA